UUUGGGGCUAGGGUUAGGUUUAAGGUUUUUGGCAUUAGGGUUAAAAUAACUGUCCAAUAUUUUUUAAGGAACAUGUUUCAGACCUUUGGGAGUUAGUUAGACAAAAAAAAAGAAAAAGAAAAAAAUAUAUAUUUGGGGUGUUCGGGUUUCCUGAAGGUAAUACCCGGGUAUUAGGUUAUGGGGCUAGGGUAAGGUUUAAGGUUUUUGGCGUUAGAGUUAAAAUCAGUGUCCAAAACCUUUUUAGGAACAUGUUUAAGACCUUUUAGAGUGGGUUACACCAAAAAAAAUGUAAAAUGAAAAAAAAAUAUUUGGGGUGUUCGGGCUUCCUGAAGGUAAUACCCGGGUAUUAGGUUUUGGGGCUAGGGUAAGGUUUAAGGUUUUUGGUGUUAGGGUUAAAAUCACUGUCCAAAACCUUUGUAGGAACUCUUUUCCAACCUUUUGGAGUUAGUUAGACAAAAAAAAAAAAAAUGAAAAAAAUAUAUUUGGGGUCUUCGGGCUUCCUGAAGGAAAUACCCAGGUAUUAGGUUAUGGGGCUAGGGUAAGGUUUAAGGUUUUUGGCGUUAGGGUUAAAAUCACUGUCCAAAACCUUUUUAGGAACAUGUUUCAGACUUUUUGGAGUUGGUUACACCAAAAAAAAAUGUAAAAUGAAAAGAAAAUAUUUGGGGUGUUCAAGCUUCCUGAAGGUAAUACCCGGGUAUUAGGUUAUGGGGCUAUAGUAAGGUUUAAGGUUUUUGGCGUGAGGGUUAAAAUCACUGUCCAAAACCUUUGUAGGAACUAUUUUCCAACCUUUUGGAGUUAGUUAGACCAAAAAAAAAACGAAAAAUGAAAAAAAAUAUUUGGGGUUUUCGGGCUUACUGAAGGUAAUACCCGGGUAUUAGGUUUUGGGGCUAGGGUUAGGUUUAAGGUUUUUGGCAUUAGGGUUAAAAUAACUGUCCAAUAUUUUUUAAGGAACAUGUCUCAGACCUUUGGGAGUUAGUUAGACAAAAAAAAAAAGAAAAAGAAAAAAUAUAUAUUUGGGGUGUUCGGGUUUCCUGAAGGUAAUACCCGGGUAUUAGGUUUUGGGGCUAGGGUAAGGUUUAAGGUUUUUGGUGUUAGAGUUAAAAUCAGUGUCCAAAACCUUUUUAGGAACAUGUUUAAGACCUUUUAGAGUUGGUUACACCAAAAAAAAAUGUAAAAAGAAAAAAAAAAUUUGGGGUGUUCGGGCUUCCUGAAGGUAAUACCCGGGUAUUAGGUUUUGGGGCUAGGGUAAGGUUUAAGGUUUUUGGUGUUAGAGUUAAAAUCAGUGUCCAAAACCUUUUUAGGAACAUGUUUAAGACCUUUUAGAGUUGGUUACACCAAAAAAAAAUGUAAAAUGAAAAAAAAAUAUUUGGGGUGUUCGGGCAUCCUGAAGGUAAUACCCGGGUAUUAGGUUUUGGGGCUAGGGUAAGGUUUAAGGUUUUUGGUGUUAGGGUUAAAAUCACUGUCCAAAACCUUUGUAGGAACUCUUUUCCAACCUUUUGGAGUUAGUUAGACCAAAAAAAAAGAAAAAAUGAAAAAAAUAUAUUUGGGGUCUUCGGGCUUCCUGAAGGAAAUACCCAGGUAUUAGGUUAUGGGGCUAGGGCAAGGUUUAAGGUUUUUGGCGUUAGGGUUAAAAUCACUGUCCAAAACCUUUUUAGGAACAUGUUUCAGACCUUUUGGAGUUGGUAACACAAAAAAAAAAUGUAAAAUGAAAAAAAAAUAUUUGGGGUGUUCAAGCUUCCUAAAGGUAAUACCCGGGUAUUAGGUUAUGGGGAUAGGGUAAGGUUUAAGGUUUUUGGUGUUAGGGUUAAAAUCACUGUCCAAAACCUUUUUAGGAACAUGUUUCAGACCUUUUGGAGUUGGUUACACCAAAAAAAAUGUAAAAUGAAAAAAAAUUUUUUUUGGGUGUUCGGGCUUCCUGAAGGUAAUACUAGGUUUCUGGGCUAGGGUAAUGUUUAAGGUUUUUGGUGUUAGGGUUAAAAUCAAUGUCCAAAACCUUUGUAGGAACUCUUUUCCAACCUUUGAGAGCAAGUUAGACCAAAAAAAAAAAUAAAUAAAAAAUAUAUAUUUGGGGUGUUCGGGCUUCCUGAAGGUAAUACCCGGGUAUUAGGUUUUGGGGCUAUUGUUAGGUUUAAGGUUUUUGGCGUUAGGGUUAAAAUAACUGUCCAAAACCUUUGUAGGAACUCUUUUCCAACCUUUGGGAAUUAGUUAGACAAAAAAAAAAAGAUAAAUGAAAAAAAAAAUAUUUGGGGUGUACGGGCUUCCUGAAGGAAAUAUUAGGUUUUGGGGCUAGGGUUAGGUUUAAGGUUUUUGGCGUUAGGGUUAAAAUGACUGUCCAAUAUUUUUUAAGGAACAUCUUUCAGACCUUUGGGAGUUAGUUAGACAAAAAAAAAAGAAAAAGAAAAAAAAUAUAUUUGGGGUGUUCGGGUUUCCUGAAGGUAAUACCCGGGUAUUAGGUUUUGGGGCUAGGGUAAGGUUUAAGGUUUUUGGCGUUUGAGUUAAAAUCAGUGUCCAAAACCUUUUUAGGAACAUGUUUAAGACCUUUUGGAGUUGGUUACACCAAAAAAAAAUGUAAAAUGAAAAAAAAAAUAUUUGGGGUGUUCGGGCUUCCUGAAGGUAAUACCCGGGUAUUAGGUUUUGGGGCUAGGGUAAGGUUUAAGGUUUUUGGUGUUAGGGUUAAAAUCACUGUCCAAAACCUUUGUAGGAACUCUUUUCCAACCUUUUGGAGUUAGUUAGACCAAAAAAAAAGAAAAAAGAAAAAAAUAUAUUUGGGGUCUUCGGGCUUCCUGAAGGAAAUACCCAGGUAUUAGGUUAUGGGGCUAGGGUAAGGUUUAAGGUUUUUGGCGUUAGGGUUAAAAUCACUGUCCAAAACCUUUUAAGGAACAUGUUUCAGACCUUUUGGAGUAGGUUACACCAAAAAAAAAAUGUAAAAUGAAAAAAAAAAUAUUUGGGGUGUUCAAGCUUCCUGAAGGUAAUACCCGGGUAUUAGGUUUUGGGGCUAGGGUUAGGUUUAAGGUUUUUGGCGUUUGGGUAAAAAUCACUGUCUAAUAUUUUUUAAGGAACAUCUUUCAGACCUCUGGGAGUUAGUUAGACCAAAAAAAAAACGAAAAAUGAAAAAAAAUAUUUGGGCUGUUCAGGCUUCCUGAAGGUAAUACUAGGUUUCUGGGCUAGGGUAAUGUUUUAGGUUUUUGGCGUUAGGGUUAAAAUCAAUGUCCAAAACCUUUGUAGGAACUCUUUUCCAACCUUUGAGAGCAAGUUAGACCAAAACAAAAAGAAAAAUAAAAAAUAUAUAUUUGGGGUGUUCGGGCUUCCUGAAGGUAAUAGGUUAUGGGGCUAGGGUAAGGUUUAAGGUUUUUCGGCGUGAGGGUAAAAAUCACUGUCCAAAACCUUUGUAGGAACUCUUUUCCAACCUUUGGGAAUAAGUUAGACAAAAAAAAUAAGAUAAUUGAAAAAAAAAUAUUUGGGGUGUUCGGGCUUCCUGAAGGAAAUACCCGGGUAUAAGGUUUUGGGGCUACGGUAAGGUUUAAGGUUUUUGGCGUUAGAGUUAAAAUCAGUGUCCAAAACCUUUUUUAGGAACAUGUUUAAGACCUUUUAGAGUUGGUUACACCAAAAAAAAAUGUAAAAUGAAAAAAAAAUAUUUGGGGUGUUCGGGCUUCCUGAAGGUAAUACCCGGGUAUUAGGUUUUGGGGCUAGGGUAAGGUUUAAGGUUUUUGGUGUUAGGGUUAAAAUCACUGUCCAAAACCUUUGUAGGAACUCUUUUCCAACCUUUUGGAGUUAGUUAGACAAAAAAAAAAAAAAUGAAAAAAAUAUAUUUGGGGUCUUCGGGCUUCCUGAAGGAAAUACCCAGGUAUUAGGUUAUGGGGCUAGGGUAAGGUUUAAAGUUUUUGGCGUUAGGGUUAAAAUCACUGUCCAAAACCUUUUUAGGAACAUGUUUCAGACUUUUUGGAGUUGGUUACACCAAAAAAAAAUGUAAAAUGAAAAGAAAAUAUUUGGGGUGUUCAAGCUUCCUGAAGGUAAUACCCGGGUAUUAGGUUUUGGGGCUAGGGUAAGGUUUAAGGUUUUUGGUGUUAGGGUUAAAAUCACUGUCCAAAACCUUUUUAGGAACAUGUUUCAGACCUUUUGGAGUAGGUUACACCAAAAAAAAAAGUAAAAUGAAAAGAAAAUAUUUGGGGUGUUCAAGCUUCCUGAAGGUAAUACCCGGGUAUUAGGUUAUGGGGCUAUAGUAAGGUUUAAGGUUUUUGGCGUUAGGGUUAAAAUCACUGACCAAAACCUUUGUAGGAACUAUUUUCCAACCUUUUGGAGUUAGUUAGACCAAAAAAAAAACGAAAAAUGAAAAAAAAUAUUUGGGGUUUUCAGGCUUACUGAAGGUAAUACCCGGGUAUUAGGUUUUGGGGCUAGGGUUAGGUUUAAGGUUUUUGGCGUUAGGGUUAAAAUCACUGUCCAAUAUUUUUUAAGCAACAUGUCUCAGACCUCUGGGAGUUAGUUAGACAAAAAAAAAAAAGAAAAAGAAAAAAAAAAUUGGGGUGUUCGGGCUUCCUGAAGGUAAUACCCGGGUAUUAGGUUUUGGGGCUAGGAUUAGGUUUAAAGGUUUUUGGCGUUAGGGUUAAAAUCACCGUCCAAAACCUUUGUAGGAACUCUUUUCCGACCUUUUGGAGUUAGUUAGACCAAAAAAAAAAAAUGAAAAAAAUAUAUUUGGGGUGUUCGGGCUUCCUGAAGGAAAUACCCGGGUAUUAGGUUUUGGGGCUAGGGUUAGGUUUAAGGUUUUUGGCGUGAGGGUUAAAAUAACUGUCCAAUAUUUUUUAAGGAACAUGUUUCAGACCUUUGGGAGUUAGUUAGACAAAAAAAAAAGAAAAAGAAAAAAAAUAUUUGGGGUGUUCGGGUUUCCUGAAGGUAAUAUUAGGUAGGUAUUAGGAUAUGGGGCUAGGGUAAGGUUUAAGGUUUUUGGCGUUAGAGUUAAAAUCAGUGUCCAAAACCUUUUUAGGAACAUGUUUAAGACCUUUUGGAGUUGGUUACACCAAAAAAAAUGUACAAUGAAAAGAAAAUAUUUGGGGUGUUCAAGCUUCCUGAAGGUAAUACACGGGUAUUAGGUUAUGGGGCUAUAGUAAGGUUUAAGGUUUUUGGCAUUAGGGUUAAAAUAACUGUCCAAUAUUUUUUAAGGAACAUGUUUCAGACCUUUGGGAGUUAGUUAGACAAAAAAAAAAGAAAAAGAAAAAAAUAUAUAUUUGGGGUGUUCGGGUUUCCUGAAGGUAAUACCCGGGUAUUAGGUUAUGGGGCUAGGGUAAGGUUAAAGGUUUUUGGUGUUAGAGUUAAAAUCAGUGUCCAAAACCUUUUUAGGAACAUGUUUAAGACCUUUUAGAGUUGGUUACACCAAAAAAAAAUGUAAAAUGAAAAAAAAUAUUUGGGGUGUUCGGGCUUACUGAAGGUAAUACCCGGGUAUUAGGUUUUGGGGCUAGGGUAAGGUUUAAGGUUUUUGGUGUUAGGGUUAAAAUCACUGUCCAAAACCUGUGUAGGAACAUGUUUCAGACCUUUUGGAGUAGGUUACACCAAAAAAAAAUGUAAAAUGAAAAGAAAAUAUUUGGGGUGUUCAAGCUUCCUGAAGGUAAUACCCGGGUAUUAGGUUAUGGGGCUAUAGUAAGGUUUAAGGUUUUUGGCGUUAGGGUUAAAAUCACUGUCCAAAACCUUUGUAGGAACUAUUUUCCAACCUUUUGGAGUUAGUUAGACCAAAAAAAAAACGAAAAAUGAAAAAAAAUAUUUUGGGUUUUCAGGCUUACUGAAGGUAAUACCCGGGUAUUAGGUUUUGGGGCUAGGGUUAGGUUUAAGGUUUUUGGCGUUAGGGUUAAAAUCACUGUCCAAUAUUUUUUAAGGAACAUCUUUCAGACCUCUGGGAGUUAGUUAGACAAAAAAAAAAAAGAAAAAGAAAAAAAAAAAUUGGGGUGUUCGGGCUUCCUGAAGGUAAUACCCGGGUAUUAGGUUUUGGGGCUAGGAUUAGGUUUAAAGGUUUUUGGCGUUAGGGUUAAAAUCACCGUCCAAAACCUUUGUAGGAACUCUUUUCCGACCUUUUGGAGUUAGUUAGACCAAAAAAAAAACGAAAAAUGAAAAAAAAUAUUUGGGGUUUUCGGGCUUACUGAAGGUAAUACCCGGGUAUUAGGUUUUGGGGCUAGGGUUAGGUUUAAGGUUUUUGGCGUUAGGGUUAAAAUCACUGUCCAAUAUUUUUUAAGGAACAUCUUUCAGACCUCUGGUAGUUAGUUAGACAAAAAAAAAAAAGAAAAAGAAAAAAAAAAUUGGGGUGUUCGGGCUUCCUGAAGGUAAUACCCGGGUAUUAGGUUUUGGGGCUAGGAUUAGGUUUAAAGGUUUUUGGCGUUAGGGUUAAAAUCACCGUCCAAAACCUUUGUAGGAACUCUUUUCCGACCUUUUGGAGUUAGUUAGACCAAAAAAAAAAAUGAAAAAAAUAUAUUUGGGGUGUUCGGGCUUCCUGAAGGAAAUACCCGGGUAUUAGGUUUUGGGGCUAGAGUUAGGUUUAAGGUUUUUGGCGUUAGGGUUAAAAUAACUGUCCAAUAUUUUUUAAGGAACAUGUUUCAGACCUUUGGGAGUUAGUUAGACAAAAGAAAAAAGAAAAAGAAAAAACUAGGACCCCGUUGGGGCACUGGCGGGCCCGAGCUGUGUCGCGUCCCCCCCCCCCAACGCGCUGCCUCCCCGUCCUAUUCGCGUCCUCUGGCCAUCGCCCUCUCUGGUAACGCCCAUCACUGCAAAGACCCUUUUCCUUCAUCGGCGUUUGCUGUUCUUCCUGCCAGUGCAUGUUGCUUUCACUUACACUUGCCACAGCCAGCCACGUGAGUGCCUAGCCUAUUGGAUAUCACUGUCACCUACACAGGACAUUCAUUACCUUUCUAUUAAUACUUUGUUUUUUAAUUUCACAUUAAUUUCCAUAUUGUAUAAACAACUGGAAAAAACUUGAGCCCCUGCCCCUGUAUAAUCAUGUGCACGUCUCUGUUCUAGCUCUAAGGUGAAUCUUCACUGCUCAUGUUCUCCUCAGAAGCAGUCACCUCACUCCCCUCAGGUUACUGUACACAUGCACCAACUGCCUGCUUCAGGUUUGGAUGGAGCUUCAUGGUUGUCUUUUGGAGAAAUGACCAGUCAAGUUGUGUUUGAAAUUUGAUUUUUUUCAGGGGCAAAAGGAGCCUCUGCAUUCUUGUCAAAUAUGUAAAUAGCAUGUUUUUGCAGGUGCUAAAAACCAGACUCUGAGUGUGUGUGUGUGCGUGUGCGUGUGUGUGUGUGUGUGUGUGUGUGUGUGUGUGUGUGCGUUCAAGUCACAUGACAUAUUUAACCGGAUGUAGCUGCAAGACGGAGACUCGUUGACUCUCCGUUUCAACUUAUCUCAAAAGUGAGGACCUCAACCUAUAUACCAGUUUUUAAAUUGUGUUGAUAGGCCAAAUAAAACCAGAGUUAUGAUAAAUUAUGUCCGCGAUACUUUUUUUCUGCUUAUUUUGAUCACGUUCGGCGCUCGAUCGCGCUGUAUGAGACAGGAAAACAUAGCAUGCAGACAUUAGCGACAGGUCUUACAGGCGGAAAAGGCUUGCCAAAGGAAAAAAAAAACACACCACAACAUCUCUCCUAUUGGUGGAAAACUUCACCACAACAACCAAUCCAAAAUUAUAUGGUGACUGAUUGACAAGGGGCGGGCGCUUACGUUCUUCCUGCAAUAUGAGAAGGGAGGGAGGGACUCUCAGCAGGGAUGCAGUCUGGGACACGUAGUUGCAAACCUAGCGACUUUGUUGUUAGAUUCAAUGACUUUUCAGACCCCCUAACGACUUUUUUUUAGAAAGAAAGUGACUUUUAUCGACUUCUUCUGGAGUUUAGAGACUCUGACAUGAAGCAGGCUUUCCUUACUGAGGAGUUAGCAACGCUGCUAAGGGUGCAGAGCCACACAUGCGCUCCGAGCUCUGCAUGGGAGACUGAAGCUGACAGAGCUGCAGCAGUUAGCAGGUUUCACCCUCAGAGACCACCAGGGGUUCAUGUUGAGGCAUUUUCAUUUUUUUUUUUUUUUUUGCCAUAGACACUGUCAGCACAAUCUGCAGUUACACUAACAAAAAUGCUGCAAAAAACAAAGAAUUAUGGAAAAAUUACACAUGGACUAACAUAGAGGAGGAUCUACACAAGUUUUUUACAUCAUGUUUUACAUCAUGCAUCAUUUACAUCAUGUUUUUUUGUAGUGGCAUAAAUAAAAAGUGACAUUUGUGAGACUAUACAGUGUUUUGUAAAUAAUUUUACAAAGAACACCUGGGCCAUUGCCUGCAUUUUGAUGUAAAUAGAGGUAAAUUACUAUGUUCUUUGUUAAAAAUUUGCAUAUGUUUUGAAGUUUACAAUUUUUAUUUGAAGUUUAAGUUUUAAAAACAGUUCAUCACACAUAUUUGUGGUUUUCACAGUAAAAACGUUACUUUUUUCCACUCGGAUUUUAUGUUUUGUGUGUGAAUUUGGGUCCAAUGUGUAAAUAUAGUAUGUCAAAAUGAUAAAAUAACUGUAAAUUGACACAGGUGAGGUUGUGCUGAAAAAAAUGAUACCAGGCAAGGCAAGGUAAAAAUUUUGUAAGAGGAAAUAUAAAGGAAAAAUCUAAAGUAGUCAAAAACGGCCAAUAGUGACUCACAGACUCCACAGACAAGUCCCUUUGGCGCCACUCAGUGGGCAAAACUACUUUGUCUACUGUAAUGUAUAUUUGGGUCAUCUUUGGCGCCCCCUAAAACGUAAACCGUGGGGUGCAGCGUCAUGAUUUUUACAACUUUGAAUGGCCAUGGAGUGUAGAUUGGCCUGAGCAAAUUUGGUGUCAGUGGGACGAAAGCCUUAGGAGGAGUUAGCGAAAUUCCAAUGUGUGCGAAUCGGCAAAAAAUGCAAAAUAGCCCUUUUACCGUACAUUAUACAGAUACGCGCUCUUUGACUUUUUCGUAGAUCUAAUUGAGAUACACAUGAUUGUCAAUUUUUGUGUCAUUUUGCCAAAGCGUACAGGCGUGACACUCAACAAUGUGUAUUUUCACCUUAGGGGACAAGAAAAAAUGGACUUUUUUCUCCUGCCAUGGGGGGGCGCUCUUUUGGGGAGUAAAAAUUCCUUCACAGAUGUGUUGAUGGCUGGACAUUGCAUCAUACUAGAAAACUUGGAGGCCAGUGAGGGCAAAAAUAAAAAGUUAUAAGACUUUUGAAUAUGUGGAUUUUAGUGUUAUCUUUGGCGCCCCCUAGAACCUAAACCGUGGGGUGCAGCGUCAUGAUUUGAAUAACUUUUAAUGGCCAUGGGGUGUAGAUUGGCCUGAGCAAAUGUGGUGUCAGUGGGACGAAAGCCUUAGGAGGAGUUAGCCACAUUCCAAUGUGUGCGAAUCGGCAUAAAAUGCAAAAUAGCCCUCUAACCGUACAUUUGACAGAUACGCACCCAUUGACUUUUUCGUAGAUCUUAUUGAGAUACACGUGAUUGUCAAAUUUUGUGUCAAUAUGACAAAGCGUACAGGUGUCACACUCAACAAUGUGAAUUUUCACCUUACGGGACAAGAAAAAAUGGACUUUUUUCUCCUGCCAUGGGGGGGCGCUCUUUUGGGGAGUAAAAAUUCCUUCACAAAUGUGUUGAUGGCUGGACAUUGCAUUAUCCUAGAAAACUUGGAGGCCAGUGAGGACAAAAAUAAAAAGUUAUAAGACUUUGAAAUAUGUGGAUUUUAGGGUUAUCUUUGGCGCCCCCUAGAACCUAAACCGUGGGGUGCAGCGUCAUGAUUUGAAUAACUUUUAAUGGCCAUGGGGUGUAGAUUGGCCUGAGCAAAUGUGGUGCCGGUGGAACGCCAGCCUUAGGAGGAGUUAGCGAAAUUCCAAUGUGUGCGGAUCAGCAAAAAAUGCGGAAUAACCCUUUAACCGUACAUUUGACAGAUACGCGCGCAUUGACUUUUUCGUAGAUCUUAUUGAGAUACACGUGAUUGUCAAAUUUUGUGUCAAUAUGACAAAGCGUACAGGCGUGACACUCAACAAUGUGUAUUUUCACCUUAGAGGACAAGAAAAAAUGGACUUUUUUCUCCGGCCAUGGGGGGGCGCUCUUUUGGGGAGUAAAAAUUCCUUCACAAAUGUGUUGAUGGCUGGACAUUGCAUCAUCCUAGAAAACUUGGAGGCCAGUGAGGGCAAAAAUAAAAAGUUAUAAGACUUUGAAAUAUGUGGAUUUUAGGGUUAUCUUUGGCGCCCCCUAGAACCUAAACCGUGGGGUGCAGCGUCAUGAUUUGAAUAACUUUUAAUGGCCAUGGGGUGUAGAUUGGCCUGAGCAAAUGUGGUGCCGUUCGAAAGAAAGCCUUCGGAGGAGUUAGCGAAAUUCCAAUGUGUGCGGAUCGGCAAAAAAUGCGGAAUAACCCUUUAACCGUACAUUUGACAGAUACGCCCGCACUGACUUUUUUGUAGAUCUUAUUGAGAUACAUAUGUGUGUCAAUUUUUGUGUCAUUUUGACAAAGCGUAAAGGCGUGACAGUCAAUAGUGUGAAUUUUCACCUUAGGGGGCGCUAUGGAGCCAUUUUGCAUUUUCUUGUUUGGGCGACUUCGGAAUAUCAAAUUUUUCACCAGGCCCGGUCAUCCUGCCAAAUUUCAUGAGUUUUCGCCAGUGGGAAGUGGGCCAUUUUCCAGUUCAAAGGGGAGGAAAAAGAAGAAAGAAAGAAACAAAGAAAAACCUCUUGGGGAAUAAUAGGGCUCUCGCAGCUGCUUAGCAGCUACGCUCGGGCCCUAAAAAUAUUUGGGGUGUUCGGGUUUCCUGAAGGUAAUAUUAGGUAGGUAUUAGGUUAUGGGGCUAGGGUAAGGUUUAAGGUUUUUGGCGUUAGAGUUAAAAUCAGUGUCCAAAACCUUUUUAGGAACAUGUUUAAGACCUUUUAGAGUUGGUUACACCAAAAAAAAAUGUAAAAUGAAAAAAAAAAUAUUUGGGGUGUUCGGGCUUCCUGAAGGUAAUACCCCUAUAUUAGGUUUUGGGGCUAGGGCAAGGUUUAAGGUUUUUGGCGUUAGAGUUAAAAUCACUGUCCAAAACCUUUGUAGGAACUCUUUUCCAACCUUUUGGAGUUAGUUAGACAAAAAAAAUGUAAAAUGAAAAAAAUAUAUUUGGGGUGUUCAAGCUUCCUGAAGGUAAUACCCGGGUAUUAGGUUUUGGGGCUAGGGUAAGGUUUAAGGUUUUUGGCGUUAGGGUUAAAAUCAAUGUCCAAAACCUUUUUAGGAACAUGUUUCAGACGUUUUGGAGUAGGUUACACCAAAAAAAAAUGUAAAAUGAAAAAAAUUUUUUGGGGUGUUCAAGAUUCCUGAAGGUAAUACUAGGUUUCUGGGCUAGGGUAAUGUUUAAGGUUUUUGGCGUAAGGGUUAAAAUCAAUGUCCAAAACCGUUGUAGGAACUCUUUUCCAACCUUUUGGAGUUAGUUAGACCAAAAAAAAAACGAAAAAUGAAAAAAAAUAUUUGGGGUGUUCGGGCUUCCUGAAGGUAAUACCCCUAUAUUAGGUUUUGGGGCUAGGGUAAGGUUUAAGGUUUUUGGCGUUAGAGUUAAAAUCACUGUCCAAAACCUUUGUAGGAACUCUUUUCCAACCUUUUGGAGUUAGUUAGACCAAAAAAAAACGAAAAAUGAAAAAAAAUAUUUGGGGUGUUCGGGCUUCCUGAAGGUAAUACCCGGGUAUUAGGUUAUGGGGCUAGGGUAAGAUUUAAGGUUUUUGGCGUAAGGGUUAAAAUCACUGUCCAAAACCUUUUUAGGAACAUGUUUCAGACCUUUUGGAGUUGGUUACACCAAAAAAAAUGUAAAAUGAAAAAGAAUUUUUUUUGGGUGUUCGGGCUUCCUGAAGGUAAUACUAGGUUUCUGGGCUAGGGUAAUGUUUAAGGUUUUUGGCGUUAGGGUUAAAAUCAAUGUCCAAAACCGUUGUAGGAACUCUUUUCCAACCUUUGAGAGCAAGUUAGACCAAAACAAAAAGAAAAAUAAAAAAUAUAUAUUUGGGGUGUUCGGGCUUCCUGAAGGUAAUACCCGGGUAUUAGGUUAUGGGGCUAGGGUAAGGUUUAAGGUUUUUCGGCGUGAGGGUAAAAAUCACUGUCCAAAACCUUUGUAGGAACUCUUUUCCAACCUUUGGGAAUAAGUUAGACAAAAAAAAUAAGAUAAAUGAAAAAAAAAUAUUUGGGGUGUUCGGGCUUCCUGAAGGUAAUACACGGGUAUUAGGUUUUGGGGCUAGGGUAAGGUUUAAGGUUUUUGGUGUUAGGGUUAAAAUCACUGUCCAAAACCUUUUUAGGAACAUGUUUUCAGACCUUUUGGAGUAGGUUACACCAAAAAAAAAUGUAAAAUGAAAAGAAAAUAUUUGGGGUGUUCAAGCUUCCUGAAGCUUCCUGAAGGUUUAAGGUUUUUCGGCGUGAGGGUAAAAAUCACUGUCCAAAACCUUUGUAGGAACUCUUUUCCAACCUUUGGGAAUAAGUUAGACAAAAAAAAUAAGAUAAAUGAAAAAAAAAUAUUUGGGGUGUUCGGGCUUCCUGAAGGUAAUACACGGGUAUUAGGUUUUGGGGCUAGGGUAAGGUUUAAGGUUUUUGGUGUUAGGGUUAAAAUCACUGUCCAAAACCUUUUUAGGAACAUGUUUUCAGACCUUUUGGAGUAGGUUACACCAAAAAAAAAUGUAAAAUGAAAAGAAAAUAUUUGGGGUGUUCAAGCUUCCUGAAGGUAAUACCCGGGUAUUAGGUUAUGGGGCUAUAGUAAGGUUUAAGGUUUUUGGCGUUAGGGUUAAAAUCACUGUCCAAAACCUUUGUAGGAACUAUUUUCCAACCUUUUGGAGUUAGUUAGACCAAAAAAAAAACGAAAAAUGAAAAAAAAUAUUUGGGGUGUUCGGGCUUCCUGAAGGUAAUACCCGGGUAUUAGGUUUUGGGGCUAGGGUAAGGUUUAAGGUUUUUGGCGUUAGGAUUAAAAUCACUGUCCAAUAUUUUUUAAGGAACAUCUUUCAGACCUCUGGUAGUUAGUUAGACAAAAAAAAAAGAAAAAGAAAAAAAAAAUUUGGGGUGUUCGGGCUUCCUGAAGGUAAUACCCGGGUAUUAGGUUUUGGGGCUAGGAUUAGGUUUAAGGUUUUUGGCGUUAGGGUUAAAAUCACCGUCCAAAACCUUUGUAGGAACUCUUUUCCGACCUUUUGGAGUUAGUUAGACCAAAAAAAAAAAAAAACUAGGACCCCGUUGGGGCACUGGCGGGCCCGAGCCGUGUCGCGUCCCCCCCUCCCCCCCCCAACGUGCUGCCUUCCCGUCCCAUUUGUGUCCUCUGGCCAUCGCCCUCUCUGGUAACGCCCAUCACUGCAAAGACCCUUUUCCUUCAUCUGCGUUUGCUGUUCUUCCUGCCAGUGUGUGUUGCUUUCACUUACACUUGCCACAGCCAGCCUCGUGAGUGCCUAGCCUAUUGGAUAUCACUGUCACCUACACAGGACAGUCAUUACCUUUCUAUUAAUACUUUGUGUUUUAAUUUCACAUUAAUUUCCAUAUUGUAUAAACGACUGGAAAAAACUUGAGCCCCUGCCCCUGUAUAAUCAUGUGCAUGUCUCUGUUCUAGCUCCAAGGUGAAUCUUCACUGCUCAUGUUCUCCUCAGAAGCACUCACCUCACUCCCCUCAGGUUACUGUACACAUGCACCAACUGCCUGCUUCAGGUUUGGAUGGAGCUUCAUGGUUGUCUUUUGGAGAAAUGACCAGUCAAGUUGUGUUUGAAAUUUGAUUUUUUUCAGGGGCAAAAGGAGCCUCUGCAUUCUUGUCAAAUAUGUAAAUAGCAUGUUUUUGCAGGUGCUAAAAACCAGACUCUGAGUGUGUGUGUGUGUGUGUGUGUGUGUGUGUGCGUGUGUGUGUGUGUCUGUGUGUGCGUUCAAGUCACAUGACAUAUUUAACCGGAUGUAGCUGCAAGACGGAGCCUCGUUGACUCUCCGUUUCAACUUAUCUCAAAAGUGAGGACCUCAACCUAUAUACCAGUUUUUAAAUUGUGUUGAUAGGCCAAAUAAAACCAGAGUUAUGAUAAAUUAUGUCCGCGAUACUUUUUUUCUGCUUAUUUUGAUCACGUUCGGCGCUCGAUCGCGCUGUAUGAGACAGGAAAACAUAGCAUGCAGACAUUAGCGACAGGUCUUACAGGCGGAAAAGGCUUGCCAAAAGAAAAAAAAAACACACCACAACAUCUCUCCUAUUGGUGGAAAACUUCACCACAACAACCAAUCCAAAAUUAUAUGGUGACUGAUUGACAAGGGGCGGGCGCUUACGUUCUUCCUGCAACAUGAGAAGGGAGGGAGGGACUCUCAGCAGGGAUGCAGUCUGGGACACGUAGUUGCAAACCUAGCGACUUUGUUGUUAGAUUCAAUGACUUUUCAGACCCCCUAACGACUUUUUUUUAGAAAGAAAGGGACUUUUAUCGACUUCUUCUGGAGUUUAGAGACUCUGACAUGAAGCAGGCUUUCCUUACUGAGGAGUUAGCAACGCUGCUAAGGGUGCAGAGCCACACAUGCGCUCAGAGCUCUGCAU
rnacentral:lncRNA from 1 species